UGGGUUGGCGGGCUCCGUGCUACGGCAUCGAACCGUCCGCGCGCACUCCACGUCAGUGAUGCAUCAAGAGUUUCUUAUGCUUCAAACGGAUUCCUGUACUUGCUACCUAUCGUAAAGGUAUGGCGACUCUCGUUGACUCCUUCCUUCCCUGACUCAUGCGGUCUGGGGGAGGACAUCGUAGUGGCGCCUGUGCCCCCCGCAUUGUGCGUGCCUUAUGGUCCGCACUUUACGACGGUUCCCAGGUCGUUGCUUGAUGCCUCGGAUACGGAACAUUCGGUGGGCUUUGGGUGUUCGCACCCUCGAUGUCCGAUUCCAAGCGUUUUUGUCGCUAGACAUGUACGAUUGUCAUGCUCCGUUGCGGGAUCCCCCGCGCGGUCGCUGGCGUCGGUAUAGGAAUGCUACCUGGUU
rnacentral:misc_RNA from 1 species